AAGUUAAGUACAGUACAAGCUUACUUAACUUCCUCCUAUCAUGUGUUAGGGAAAUAUCAUAUGACUCUCCUUCCUCAAUGGCUUUCAUCUGCAAAGCAUAAAUUACGCUCCAAAGACUAUUAGUUGGAUUCCUUCUAGUCCUUGUUGGGACUUCAUUCAAGACACAGAAUUGCAACCUAGGAAGUUGUCCUAAGAAGUCUCCACUUCCAGAGGUGAGGUUACCAUAGCACAGAAUACACAGGUAGACAACUGUCAAGGAGCAACACAGCCUCUGAAAUUAGGUCCUACUGCAUUCCCUGUUUCCAAGUCAGUAACUCUUCACUAAAACAAGCACAAACACUUGUGCCAUUAGCUCAGGCAAUCAGAAAGGACAAUGAUUACAAAAGACCAAAGAAUCCAUCAGUCCUGAGAAAGAGUGGCUUGAGUUCUAACAGCAGCUGUUCUCAUUAACACAGGAGAUCACAAAGGAUUGCCCUCAUGCAAAAUAACUGCCACUGCCUAGUGGAAUGAAAGCCAGAGAAUAAUAGUCUCCUCUGAGUAUCAUCAUCUGCAGCCAUUAUCAUCAUCUGACCUUAGAAUAUUUUAACUUCACUCCACUCAGCAAGAAAAGGAGGCUGUAAUCAUUCUAAGGAUUGCUCAAGCAGCACUUCCACAUUUUUCAUCUGCCUAUGUACUCUGGCUGUGUAACAUGGUGAGAACCAAGCACACAACAGCUUUCCUCCUUCCAUACACUGGUUUCCACGGCUUCCCCUGUGCACAUCGUGGGUAGGAAUCCCAGUGCGCUCCAGAUCAAUCCCAGUGUGGGUAUGUGAGACUUCGGUGCACUGCAGUAUCACCUAGCAGGUGGGUCUAGAUGCAGCAAUUGAGAACAGUGAAAACAAGCAGUGACUCUUCAUUCUGAAGUCAUCCAACCCAUCCACGGUUUCAGCUUUUCUUGAAGAAAAACUCACUAUUAGACACAACAGUAACUUCCAGGAGAACCACUUACCAGAAGCAAACAUGCUAACACAGAAAACAGACAUUAAAUAUCCAUAAGGUUCUGCCAGUGAGAAGCAAAAACAAGCCUUAAUGUAACUGAAAAUACUUUGUGUUGCAAUACGUAUUUCAUAUGUAUUUAAUUUUAAAAAAUAUUUUAAAAAGCAGUUACUAUUUCAUGAGUAGAUGAUUAAUGUCUUCUCCUUCAACAGUAAUGACACAUCACAUUUGGUAUAACAUUUAACACUUCCUUUAUAGAUUCUAUUUCAUCUAUCACAGGAAAAAUUGAAUUGUAUAGUUACUCUCCCUGCCUUACUUGCUCUUCAUUUGAAUCCAUGGCAUCUGGUUACCACCUGAGUACCAGAAAAACAGUAUUUCUGCCUCCCUUCAACAGCCAUUUAGCAGGCAGGCUCUACUAUCCCAUGUGCAGGUCUUAAGACAGGGCUUAAGCAUCACUGAAGGGUUUGCAUGUACCUCUGCUAAGAACUUCACCAUCAGCCCUCAUUCAAGCAAUGUUGCUACUGUAAAUAAUGAGAAUAUAUAUUAAAACAAUGAGAGGGGUGAUUAGUUUAUUAAUUUGCUGGAAAAAAACCAAACUAUGCUGCUUAGUCAGCAUUCCUGCUACAACACAUCUGGUACAUGUACUUAAUAUUUACCACCUUUCAGUUGAAUGAUAUGUACAAUGGAGGCAGAUGGCUGAGGCAAAUCAACAAUUUAAAAUAUAUGAACAGUGGGAAAUUCAAAAAACAAACAAUUCUGCCUUACCUCUCCUUCUGAAAUCAGCUGCAAACAGGAGCAGAGCUAGAACCUCACUGAACCCUUUUGAAAAUUUGAAUCUACAAGUAUAAAUUUGUAUAUCUGCUUGCCUUCUUGGGGAGCCCUCCCAGAAAAUACUUGGUACAGGCACUUUUACCAUUCCACUAUUGCAGAUGUCAAAUUUCUGCCUUGGCUAAACUUCUGCAAGUCUCAUCUUUCGUUUCUCCACAAUCAUGUAAUACAUGUAACACACCUUUAGGCAAUUAUGUGAAAGCAGCAGGACUGGAGAGAAGGGAUAAAAAAAGUAUGAGUAUCAAAAAAGACUGUAGGCAGAAAUGGAAACAGGAGGCCUCAUGGAAAAAAGGUGAGAGCAAAAGAAAUGCAUUUUUUUCUCUUUUUGUUUCCAAUAAACAAAUACAUUUCCAGAUUCAUUUUCUAAAGGGAGAACAAUAGAUGUAUUUGUGUCCAUCCAGCAGUUUUCCUCACAAACCUCCAUGAAAAAACAAACAGCAACCCAAAGUGAAUGCAUUAUUGCUUCUGACAAUAGGACAGGCUAUAACAGAUUGCAUGGCAGGGAAUAAAAUCUCCUGCCUCUUCUCAAGCUUGGGAGAGCUGAAUGGAGGCAUGCGAAUGACAUAAUCUACAUUCUCACUCAAAAGCAAUGGUCACCAUUUCGGAGUGACACAGAUCUUCCUAAUAAAAGGUAGACCAUAUUUGUAACAUGAUGAAGGACCUCUGAUGUAGGGACUACAUUUGCACAACCAAAAAGGGUUGCACAACCAAAAGGAUUUGUUUAUAUGCUUUUUAAAAAUUAAUUAUACACAUCUUCCUUGUUUAUCUGAAGAGAUGGGGUCCUUUCAACUAACCAAAACCAAAAGCAAUUAGAGGUAAUCCAGUCUCAGAACAGCAGACGAAUUGAUUUUAACUGAGUUUACAAAAAGCUAAACAUGAGCACAAGGAAACACUGGAUCCCAGUAACUGCAAUCUGUGAUUGCCAUUUUCAAUCAUGUUAGCAGCAGCAAAACAGUAGUUCAGAAAUUAAAGCAAUAUCAAACACAAGAGUUAGUUGUGUCUCACCAUCUGCUCCA